CAAGGUUUCCGUAGGUGAACCUGCGGAAGGAUCUGUG
rnacentral:rRNA from 1 species